rnacentral:rRNA from 1 species
UUCGGUUAAGUUAUUAAGGGCGCACGGUGGAUGCCUUGGCACUAGGAGCCGAUGAAAGACGGUACUAACACCGAUAUGCUUCGGGGAGCUGUAAGUAAGCUUUGAUCCGGAGAUUUCUGAAUGGGGGAACCCACUGCCCGUAAUGGGGUAGUACGUUUGCGUGAAUACAUAGCGCAAUCGAGGCAGACUCAGGGAACUGAAACAUCUAAGUACCUGAAGGAAGAGAAAGAAAAUUCGAUUCCCUUAGUAGCGGCGAGCGAAACGGGAAGAGCCCAAACCAAGAAGCUUGCUUCUUGGGGUUGUAGGACAUUCUAUACGGAGUUACAAAAGUAUGAAGUAGGCGAAGCGACUUGGAAAGGUCCGCCAUAGCAGGUAAAAGCCCUGUAGUCGAAAGUUCAUACCCUCUUGAAUGUAUCCUGAGUACGGCGGAACACGUGAAAUUCCGUCGGAAUCCGGGAGGACCAUCUCCCAAGGCUAAAUACUCCCUAGUGACCGAUAGUGAACCAGUACCGUGAGGGAAAGGUGAAAAGCACCCCGGAAGGGGAGUGAAAUAGAUCCUGAAACCGUGUGCCUACAAGUAGUUAGAGCCCGUUAAUGGGUGAUAGCGUGCCUUUUGUAGAAUGAACCGGCGAGUUACGAUUACGUGCAAGGUUAAACUGAGAAAGUGGAGCCGCAGCGAAAGCGAGUCUGAAUAGGGCGAAAUAGUACGUAGUCGUAGACCCGAAACCAGGUGAUCUACCCAUGUCCAGGUUGAAGGUUAGGUAACACUGACUGGAGGACCGAACCCACGUAUGUUGAAAAAUGCGGGGAUGAGGUGUGGGUAGCGGAGAAAUUCCAAUCGAACCUGGAGAUAGCUGGUUCUCUCCGAAAUAGCUUUAGGGCUAGCCUCGCGGCAAGAAUCUUGGAGGUAGAGCACUGUUUGGACUAGGGGCCCAUCCCGGGUUACCGAAUUCAGACAAACUCCGAAUGCCAAUGAUUUAUCCGCGGGAGUCAGACUGCGAGUGAUAAGAUCCGUAGUCAAGAGGGAAACAGCCCAGACCACCAGCUAAGGUCCCCAAGUAAUUGUUAAGUGGAAAAGGAUGUGGCGUUGCAUAGACAACCAGGAUGUUGGCUCAGAAGCAGCCAUCAUUUAAAGAGUGCGUAAUAGCUCACUGGUCGAGUGACACUGCGCCGAAAAUGUAUCGGGGCUAAACAAUUCACCGAAGCUGUGGAUGCAUACCAUAGGGUAUGCGUGGUAGGAGAGCGUUCUAAAUGCGUAGAAGUCAGACCGUAAGGACUGUUGGAGCGUUUAGAAGUGAGAAUGCCGGUAUGAGUAGCGAAAGACGGGUGAGAAUCCCGUCCACCGAAUGACUAAGGUUUCCUGAGGAAGGCUCGUCCGCUCAGGGUUAGUCGGGACCUAAGCCGAGGCCGAUAGGCGUAGGCGAUGGACAACAGGUUGAAAUUCCUGUACCACCUCCCUGCCACUUGAGUGAUGGGGUGACGCAGAAGGAUAGGGUAAGCACGCUGUUGGUUAUGCGUGUCCAAGCAGUAAGGCGUGAGUGUAGGCAAAUCCGCACUCUGUAACGUUGAGCUGUGAUGGCGAGCUCGUAUGAGCGAAGUUCCUGAUUUCACACUGCCAAGAAAAGCCUCUAACGAGGCAGGAGGUGCCCGUACCGCAAACCGACACAGGUAGUCGAGGAGAGAAUCCUAAGGUGAGCGAGAGAACUCUCGUUAAGGAACUCGGCAAAAUGACCCCGUAACUUAGGGAUAAGGGGUGCUCUCGGAGGUUAACGCUUCUGAGAGCCGCAGUGAAUAGGCCCAGGCGACUGUUUAGCAAAAACACAGGUCUCUGCAAAACCGUAAGGUGACGUAUAGGGGCUGACGCCUGCCCGGUGCUGGAAGGUUAAGAGGAGUGGUUAGCGCAAGCGAAGCUGCGAAUUGAAGCCCCAGUAAACGGCGGCCGUAACUAUAACGGUCCUAAGGUAGCGAAAUUCCUUGUCGGGUAAGUUCCGACCCGCACGAAAGGCGUAACGAUCUGGGCACUGUCUCAACGAGAGACUCGGUGAAAUUAUAGUACCUGUGAAGAUGCAGGUUACCCGCGACAGGACGGAAAGACCCCGUGGAGCUUUACUGUAACUUGAUAUUGAAUUUCGGUGCAACC